GGGAUGAUAGCUCAGUUGGGAGAGCGCGAGAGUGAAGAUACUCAAUUCUUGAGGUCGGGCGUUCGAUCCGCCCUCGUCCCA
rnacentral:tRNA from 2 species